rnacentral:rRNA from 1 species
AUGAACGCUAGCGAUAGGCUUAACACCUGCAAGUCGAGGGGCAGCACAAGGUAGCUUGCUAUCUGGGUGGCGACCGGCGCCCGGGUGCGUAACGCGUAUGCAACUUGCCCUAUACAGGAGGAUAACCCGUCGAAAGACGGACUAAUACUGCGUAUGCUCACAACUUGGCAUCAAGUGGUGAGGAAAGAAAUUCGGUAUAGGAUAGGCAUGCGUCCCAUUAGCUUGUUGGUGAGGUAACGGCUCACCAAGGCAACGAUGGGUAGGGGAACUGAGAGGUUUAUCCCCCACACUGGUACUGAGACACGGACCAGACUCCUACGGGAGGCAGCAGUGAGGAAUAGUGGUCAAUGGGCGCGAGCCUGAACCAGCCAAGUCGCGUGAAGGAUGACUGUCUUAUGGAUUGUAAACUUCUUUUAUACGGGAAUAACAAGAGUCACGUGUGACUCCCUGCAUGUACCGUAUGAAUAAGCAUCGGCUAACUCCGUG